rnacentral:rRNA from 1 species
AUUGAACGCUGGCGGCAGGCCUAACACAUGCAAGUCGAGCGGAUGAAGGGAGCUUGCUCCUGGAUUCAGCGGCGGACGGGUGAGUAAUGCCUAGGAAUCUGCCUGGUAGUGGGGGAUAACGUCCGGAAACGGGCGCUAAUACCGCAUACGUCCUGAGGGAGAAAGUGGGGGAUCUUCGGACCUCACGCUAUCAGAUGAGCCUAGGUCGGAUUAGCUAGUUGGUGGGGUAAAGGCCUACCAAGGCGACGAUCCGUAACUGGUCUGAGAGGAUGAUCAGUCACAACGGAAACGAGAAACGGUCCAGACUCCUACGGGAGGCAGCAGUGGGGAAUAUUGGACAAUGGGCGAAAGCCUGAUCCAGCCAUGCCGCGUGUGUGAAGAAGGUCUUCGGAUUGUAAAGCACUUUAAGUUGGGAGGAAGGGCAGUAAGUUAAUACCUUGCUGUUUUGACGUUACCAACAGAAUAAGCACCGGCUAACUUCGUG